rnacentral:rRNA from 1 species
GCUAACUACGUGCCAGCAGCCGCGGUAAUACGUAGGGUGCGAGCGUUAAUCGGAAUUACUGGGCGUAAAGCGUGCGCAGGCGGAUUAUUAAGCAAGACGUGAAAGCCCCGGGCUUAACCUGGGAAUGGCGUUUUGAACUGGUAGUCUAGAGUGCGUCAGAGGGGGGUGGAAUUCCACGUGUAGCAGUGAAAUGCGUAGAGAUGUGGAGGAACACCAAUGGCGAAGGCAGCCCCCUGGGAUGACACUGACGCUCAUGUACGAAAGCGUGGGUAGCAAACAGGAUUAGAUACCCUUGUAGUC